rnacentral:rRNA from 1 species
GAUGAACGCUGGCGGCGUGCCUAAUACAUGCAAGUCGAGCGAAUGGAUUAAGAGCUUGCUCUUAUGAAGUUAGCGGCGGACGGGUGAGUAACACGUGGGUAACCUGCCCAUAAGACUGGGAUAACUCCGGGAAACCGGGGCUAAUACCGGAUAACAUUUUGAACCGCAUGGUUCGAAAUUGAAAGGCGGCUUCUGCUGUCACUUAUGGAUGGACCCGCGUCGCAUUAGCUAGUUGGUGAGGUAACGGCUCACCACGGCAACGAUGCGUAGUCGACCUGAGAGGGUGAUCGGCCACACUGGGACUGAGACACGGCCCAGACUCCUACGGGAGGCAGCAGUAGGGAAUCUUCCGCAAUGGACGAAAGUCUGACGGAGCAACGCCGCGUGAGUGAUGAAGGCUUUCGGGUCGUAAAACUCUGUUGUUAGGGAAGAACAAGUGCUAGUUGAAUAAGCUGGCACCUUGACGGUACCUAACCAGAAAGCCACGGCUAACUACGUGCCAGCCGCCGCAGUAA